CUUUACUGUAGCCUGGAAUUGGGUUCGGGCUUCGCUUGCGCAGGAUAGGUGGGAGACUAUGAAGCAAUCCUUGUGGGGGUUGCUGAGUCAACGGUGAGAUACCACUCUGUCAGAGCUAGAAUUCUAACUAAAUGCCGUUAUCCGGCUUUGGAACCGUAUCAGGUGGGCAGUUUGACUGGGGCGGUCGCCUCCUAAAAGGUAACGGAGGCGCGCAAAGGUUCUCUCAGGCUGGUUGGAAAUCAGCCGUAGAGUGUAAAGGCAGAAGAGAGCUUGACUGCAAGAGCUACAACUCGAGCAGGGUGGAAACACGGCCUUAGUGAUCCGACGGCGCUGAGUGGAAGGGCCGUUGCUCAACGGAUAAAAGUUA
rnacentral:rRNA from 1 species